AUGGAAGGUGAUACAGAUCCAGAAGAUCUUUUCUGUGAGGAGGAUAGUUCAGAUGAGGAUGAGGUUUUAGUACAGCAAGCUCCACCACAAAAACUACCAGUUAGAAGAGGGCCAACUGACAGAUCUCACAGCAGUUCUGUAGCAACAAUAGAACCAGAUUAUGUGCUCUCCUCUGAUGAGAACAUGGAAGAUGGUAAGUGUGAAUUAUCAGAUGAUGAGGAGAUAAGAUAUGUGCCAAAUACUGGCAAGAGAUCAAGAGCUAAGAAGAGAGCAGUGAGGAAGUGGUAUAAUGAGGAAAUGCAACAACCUGAAGAUCAAAUUUGUUGGCAGAAGUGUUUUGAGGAUGCAUAUCAGUUCAGAAGGGCUCUGGUGAACUUGCAUGUAACUCAGAGGAGGAAUUUCCACUAUCAUAGGAAUUGCAAGGACAUGAUAAUAGUUGACUGCAGUCAAGAGGGCUGCAACUUUCAUAUGACUUCCUCACAAGUGGGAAAAGAGAAAACCUUCUGCAUAAAGAAACUCCAACUGCAUCACACAUGUCCUGUAAUUGGUGAGAACUGCAAAGUGCCCAUUAAGUAUGUGGCAAAGUCAAUUGAGAGCAGCUUAAGGAUAGAUCCUAGCACAUGUGUUGAUAUUGUGAUAGAGAACACCAAGGAAAAGUUUGGUGUGGAGGCAGGCAAGAACAAGGCAUACAUGGCAAGAAAACUAGCUUUGGCAGUGGUCCUGGGUGAUCAGGAAAGGCAGUACACAAGAAUUAGGGACUACCUUCAGACAGUGCCUGACACAAACCCUGGAUCUAGAUGUAUAAUUACUACUAGAGUUGUGAAAGAGCACCCAAGUACCAAUCCCAGAUUUCAUAGGUUGUUCAUGUGUCUUGGAGCAUCAAUUGAAGGUUUCUUGAAAGGAUGCAGGCCAUUCAUUGGUUUGGAUGGGUGCUUUGUAAAGCUGAGCAUAGGACGAAAAAUUCUAGCUGCCACUGCAAGGGAUGGUAAUAACAAUAUCUAUCCUAUUACUUUUGGAGUGGUUGAAGUAGAGGACACACCUAGCUGGAGUUGGUUCCUCACACAUUUGAAAAUAGCUAUUGGUGGAGAAAAAGGGCAGUUUGGAUACUAUACAAUCAUCUCUAAUAGGCAGAAGGGACUUCUAAAUGCCAUAGAUGCAAUCUUUCCAAAUUGUCCUCAGAGAUACUUUUUAAGAUACAUAUAUGCUAAUUUUCAAAGUGCUGGGUUUAGAGGGGAGGAACUUAAAAAGUAUAUGGAUGGUGCUUCAUAUUCUUAUACAAGACAUGGGUUUGAUGUUAACAUGGAGAACUUGAGACAAGAGAGCCAAGAGGCUUGGGAGUGGCUAAGUAAGAUAGAGGUGAAAACAUGGGCUAGAUGGGCAAUGGACACUAAUUGUAAGACAGACCUGGUUGUCAACAAUUUAAGUGAAAUAUACAAUAUGAUGAUCUUGGAUGUAAGGGGGAAACCAAUCCAGACCAUGUGUGAAGGUAUUAGGACCAAGUUGAUGGUUAAGUACAAUGAGAAAAGAACAGGGAUCCAAAAUGCUAGGUGGGAGAUAACUCUAACAUACUUAGAGAAGUUGGAGGAGUCAAAGAAGUGGGCUAGGAACUGCAAGGCACAAAUGGCUAGUCCAGAUCUUUAUCAGGUUCAGAGUGGGAAAAAUGCUUAUGCUGUAAAUUUGGCACAAAAGACUUGUGGGUGUAGAAGAUGGGACAUGACAAUAAUCCCCUGCCACCAUGCUGUGUCUGCCAUAUAUAAAUCAAAGCAGCAUCCAGAGGAUUUUGUCUCUGCAUUUUUCAAGAAAGAAAUGUACAUGGCAACAUACAAUCCUAUUAUAUUCCCAGUUCCUGGCCCUGAUCUUUGGACCAAGACACCUACCAGAGACAUUGACCCCCCAGUUUUCAAGAAGAAGAAGGGAAGAAAGCAGACCAAGAGAAGAAAGGGUCGGUUUGAGGUGCCCAAGCCCAAAGAUACCUCUAGAGUUGGCACAAUAUCAUGCAACAAUUGUGGUAGAGAGGGUCAUAGGUACAUCAACUGUGGAGAUGCACUCAAGCCAUCACUUCUGAUGAGAAAGAACAAACAUGGGCCCAAUAGGAAGAACCAAGCAACUGCUUUUGUUGCUACUUGUUCUACUGCUACUAAGCCUCCAGCUGCUCCAAAGCCCACAAGAUCUACAACUACUUCUACUAGGGACACAAGGCAAGCAGCUCCCACACCCAAGAACAAAAGGCAAUCAUCAAGUGCUGCCAGGACAAGCAGAACAACACCCACUACAAGAGCUGCUGGUAGGGCACCUUAUGCUCCUCCAAGAGCUGCUGCAAGUCAUGCUGCUGCUGGUCCUUCACAUGGACAGAAGAGGAAGAGGAAGCCUACCAGGUGGGAUGAUUAUUUCACAACAAGUGGAAAUCACUGA
rnacentral:rRNA from 1 species